GUUUAAUUGAGAACCAGUAGUCUCUUGAAUACAAUGAUGUGUUUAAUUGAGAACCAGUAGUCUCUUGAAUACAAUGAUGUGUUUAAUUGAGAACCAGUAGUCUCUUGAAUACAAUGAUGUGUUUAAUUGAGGACCAGUAGUCUCUUGAAUACAAGAAUGUGUUUAAUUGAGAACCAGUAGCCUCUUGAAUACAAGGAUGUGUUUGGUUUUGUUCUAAACCAAAUGGAUGUGUUUGGUUUUUGUCACUGGUGUGUCGAGGUGCGUGAAUAAGGGAGCCAAACGCAGGGAGGUAGUUACUCUUCUUUCUUACUUUCUUAAUAACAAAAAUGGCACGCGUAACAACAAGAGCGCAAAAGCGUGCAACAGCUUUGCAAUUACAAACACCAAACAUAGAACAAUACCACACAAAGACGCCCAGAAACAAGGGAACUAAUAUAGGCAACCUAAUGAGGGAAUGGACACCAGGUGUGUGCAAUAACAAGACAGGACAGUGCCGUGGGAGGAGGAGCGGCGUGGCUAGAAGGCCGGCGAUGACGCACGCCGAACACCACGUCGGGAGGGGCGUCCUCCACGCGCGUCCUCGUUACAGUUUUGCUGUAUGAUUCCCACAAGCCAUUCUGUCAACCUAAAUGUAAGAUACAUGUUUAUUAUGAUACCAUAACAGCCACACAAAACCAUUUUUUAACUGUUGCACAUCUGUAUGUGAAUCAUGAAUCUGCUUUUAUGGACCAAAGCGCUUUCUGUAAUGAAUACAGGAGACCAGGACAGGAUCCAAGCACAGAGCUCUAACACUAUUUUGGUACAAUAAAACUCCAGUAAGAGGCGUCGUCGUGGAACAGAAGUGUUCAAUUUGCAGCGGUCUCUUAAUUUUAACCCUUCUGUACCUCAUUCAAAACCUUCCGUUUCAACUUUUUUGGAAAGGAAAGAAAAAGGUGCAUUGGUCUCUUCAUUUUUUCCCGGAGCUGUAUAUUAAUUAUGUUUGUUUAAUCUGUGUGUCUGAUCCAAUCAGCUGAUCGGGAACUGGUCCUAUAUAGCAAUCACAAACACCCAACCACUGUUUUAUUACGUUUUCCUUCAUCUAAACUCCUCCUUCAUAGCAACAAUUGUGUCUUGUUUCUUUGGUCAUGUUUUGUUGUUUGUUUGAGACACUAAACAAUUCUGUUUCCAACCAAAAAAUUUAACGAUCUUCUACUGUCGUCCUUGUUUCAUCAUCAGCUAUUAUUUAUUAACAGGAGCCAGGACUUUGGUCAAAGUCCUCAUGGAUAACAUCUGGUCAGAGUUGUCACCAGGGCCACUCCCGAACAUGUUUAAAGUAACCUUUUAUGUAAAAAUGUUGGAUGGGACAUGUUCCAGUAGCAAUAUCAGUGUUGCCCUUGAAGACAACAAGCUCAACUGGACGUACAAUUUCCCUUCUUCCGCGGUCUUCCUGCCAACUUGUCCAGACUGUCUUUUGAACCAGAUUACAACCACCAUCAAUGGAAACAACUUCAUGUCUCUGGAACUCUACAGUAAGAGAAGAGAACUCUCCGCUGCUGAACUGUUUCAGUUCAAGACACAGGUUGCCUGUCUCAACUUGCCACAGGCAGUUUUCCUCAACUCUAAGACAGAACACUGUCCAGACACCACUGCAAGGAUUCCCAUCAUGGAAGAGAAGUACAUGGAGUUCAUUCAAUCUAUGGAGACCGAACCUCUCAAGGGAUUUUUUUCAGUAACAGAUUAUCUCAUUGAGAAGGCAGAAUGCCUGGGAUGGAUUUAAAGCAGGCUCAGUUAUCCUGGUGGACUGGAGCUUUCCAAUUGAUUCAGCUAAUAAAUGUCUUGGUGAGCAUCUAAUCUCACCAAGGGAUUUACUCAAGCAGAAUCACAUGGGUUUAACUGUACUCUGAAUGAAAGGGGAGUUGGUGAAACCAUUUAGACUUUUUGUCUUCAUAAAGAACCGCUUCACUAACCUUACAAAAUGAUGUUUUCUAAUGGAACUUAACAACACCUGAUGAAGGUCUGAGAUGAACUGUAAUAUCUACAGUGGCUGUGAUACUGUAAAAAAAUCUGUAGGUUUUCAACAGGUUGUAUGAACAGUUUUAUGCAUGAAAAUGAUACUAUACAUGAUGUGACUAGAGCUUCAUUCUGUGUCCUUAAAGGCCUUUCCGAUAACUACAUUUAUAUUGUUGUUGGUAUUUAUUUCUCCUGUCUUUUCGUCCUGUUUGCCCUUCAUUGAGUUUCAAUCCCUCCCAAUCGGUCCCACCCUCCCAACUGGAGAAAGGUUAUCUCUAAUCAUCCACUGCUCAUUGGUACCAUGUCAGUGAUCAGUGGAUUAACCCAAUCAGUUACAACCUCCACUGUCAGACAAUCUUUCACAGUAUUUGAUCAUGUCAUUGUCUCCUUCUGGAAUGCAUCCCUCCAUUCUGCCAUGGGUCUUCCUGGGUGUUUUUCCCUGUGUGUAUCAUAUGUGCAGAUACUGACCCAAAGAUUGUCUCUCCUAUUGCCUGACUCUGGUCCUCCAGGUCUUCCAGAACUACAGUCGUAGAUACAAUUACACCUUGAUGAUACGAUUUGACAACCGUUGCUUUACUUUGAGAAAUUAGCCAACGAUGGAUUUAGGCAGUACAUACAGAAUCUCACAAAAGUGAGUACACCCC
ensembl:lncRNA